GAAGGAGAGCCACCGCGGUGCCGUGUGGGAUGCCGGAGGAGCAGGGAGUGGGCGGUUCCGGUCCGGAGAGCGGCCUGGCAGCUGGGCGAGCGCGGAGGCGGCGAAGGCUCUCGGGGGGUUGGGCCCAGGUUCUGAAUCUUGCAGUGACGGAACAUGUCUCAGUCAGGUGAAAAAGUAAAGUUUUCUGACUCAGCAGGCUAUGUGGGAUUUGCUAAUCUGCCCAACCAGGUCCACAGGAAGUCUGUAAAGAAGGGCUUUGAAUUCACUCUAAUGGUGGUUGGAGAAUCUGGUUUGGGAAAAUCCACCUUAAUUAACAGUUUAUUCCUGACUGAUCUUUAUCCAGAACGUUACAUUCCUGGAGCUGCAGAGAAAAUAGAGAGAACAGUCCAAAUCGAAGCUUCUACAGUAGAGAUUGAGGAGCGAGGGGUGAAACUCCGUUUAACAGUAGUUGAUACACCAGGAUAUGGCGAUGCCAUUAACAGCCAGGACUGCUUCAAAACAAUCAUCCAUUAUAUUGACAAUCAGUUUGAAAGAUACCUUCACGACGAGAGUGGUCUGAACAGGCGCCACAUUAUAGACAACAGAGUCCACUGCUGUUUUUACUUCAUAUCACCCUUUGGGCAUGGGCUGAAGCCUUUAGAUGUAGAGUUCAUGAAAGCUCUUCAUGGAAAAGUCAACAUUGUCCCUGUGAUUGCCAAGGCUGACACUCUGACACUGAAGGAGAGAGAGAGGCUGAAGAGAAGGGUUCUGGAUGAGAUUGCUGAGCAUGGCAUUAGGAUUUACCAGUUGCCUGAUGCAGAUUCUGAUGAAGAUGAGGAGUUCAAAGAACAGACCAGGGUUCUGAAGGCUAGCAUUCCCUUUGCUGUUAUUGGGUCCAACCAACUUAUUGAGGUGAAAGGAAAAAAAAUCCGAGGUCGCCUUUACCCUUGGGGAGUGGUUGAGGUUGAGAAUCCAGAGCACAAUGACUUCCUUAAAUUGCGCACAAUGCUGGUAACACACAUGCAGGACCUGCAGGAAGUGACUCAAGAUUUGCACUAUGAGAACUUCCGAUCGGAGAGAUUAAAACGCACGGGCAAGCCUGUUGAAGAAGAAGUUGUAGACAAGGAUAGAAUCCUCCAGCAGAAAGAGGCUGAGCUGCGUCGCAUGCAGGAAAUGAUUGCACAGAUGCAGGCCCAGAUGAGGAUGAAGCCUGGGGAUGAGUGAGAUGCUGAACAUGUGGCUAACAAGUUCCAGAGCUCAUUGCUCUCCAUACGUGACUUCAAUGGGUAAACCAGCUAUAAGCAAAUGAACUGAAAAAAACAAAAGAAUUUCAAAGCUAUCUGAACCGGCUUCGUCACUUGACGUACACCUGGCAAAUGAAAUUUUAAAAGGAGAAGGAAAAAAAUGCUGCUGAUCAACAGAAGGGAAGAUGAAAUGAAACUAAUUUGAAGCAGAGAAGUCAACUAUAAGAGUGUCUGAAAUAACAGGAACGUCUCUAAAAAUAUAUGUGGGGGGGGGGGGAGGAAGGAGGAGAGGAGCAGGAAUGAGUCAAAACUGGCUAGUAAAAUGCCAAGUAUGGAAGAAAGUACUUUUUCAGAAUUGCAGCAAAGUUUUCCUAAUACAGUGCAUCCUAAUACGAGUCACUGUAUGAUUAAAUUUGAAUUCACAAGCUUUGCAAAAAAAGAUGCAUCUGUCUGUACCACUGCGAAUGGCUCAGUGAUACGAAUGCUGUAUUUAUACCAUAAAAUGUAUGGCAUUUGAAGAAAAGCCAGUUUGGGUGUUGAGAGGAAAGGGCUUUGAUUAUAAAAGCACACUUCUCACCUUUAGGAGUAAAAAGGGGGAAAAAAAAAAACCCCCAAAAAACAGAAACUUGAACUGUAUCUGGGGAAGAAUGCCGUCUUAGCUGUCACACCCUCUGGUUGUCCCUGAACGGAAUUGUGGGCGGAAAUUCUUGAUGAACCACAUACUAGCUCCUUACUUUGCCAUCAGUGAAAUAUUUCAGUGAUACACGGUUCUCUUAAAAAUGGAUCAGUGCUUUAUUCUGUUUGAUGAUGCUAUUGAACACCAGUAACAACACUCAGAUACGAUGCUGGAUGCAGCAAGACCUUGGGGAAAAAAGCAAGACCUUGGGGGGGGGAAAGUCUUGAAGAUCGUGUUGUGAAACCAUAUUUUUUUUUUAUAUAUCCAACCUUAAUCAUGUUAUAUGUAUCUUUUUUUGAUCCUCUUGGUAAUUAUGUCUUCAUGCUUAUAAUGUAGGUUUCUUAUCCUUUCUAUAUCUUUUUAUACAAAAACUAGUACACCACGCUGUUUGUUCUAGUCAUUGUGAGUGGGUUUAACAUGAUGUAUCACAUUUCAGCUAGCUUAUUCUUGACAAUUUUGUGAUAAAAUACUUUAAAAAAAAAAAAUCUUGUGAACCGUUUACAGUAAAUGUGUGUGUGUGCACAGCAUUCUAGCUUUCAUUUGCUUUGUCUUAGUGGAAGCAUUAUAUAACUUGUUACUAGUUUAAUCAUAACUUUUCUCAUAUAUAAUAUUAAAAAAAAAAAAGACA